rnacentral:tRNA from 1 species
GGUUCCAUAAUGUAGUGGUUAGCAGAUCUGCUUCACACGCAGAAGGUCAUGGGUUUGCGCCCCAGUGGAGCCA